rnacentral:rRNA from 1 species
AGAGUUUGAUCAUGGCUCUUGAUGAACGCUAGCGGCAGGCUUAACACAUGCAAGUCGAACGGUAACAUAAGAGCUUGCUCUUGAUGACGAGUGGCGCACGGGUGAGUAACACGUAUGCAACCUACCCUUUACAGGAGGAUAGCCCCGAGAAAUCGGGAUUAAUACUCCAUAGUAUCAUAAGGCUUCAUGGUCUAAUGAUUAAAGUUUCGGCGGUAAAGGAUGGGCAUGCGUCCCAUUAGUUAGUUGGUAAGGUAACGGCUUACCAAGGCAUCGAUGGGUAGGGGGUCUGAGAGGAUGGUCCCCCACACUGGUACUGAGACACGGACCAGACUCCUACGGGAGGCAGCAGUGAGGAAUAUUGGGCAAUGGAGGAAACUCUGACCCAGCCAUGCCGCGUGCAGGAAGACGGCCCUACGGGUUGUAAACUGCUUUUAUUUGGGAAGAAACCCUGUUACGUGUAACAGGCUGACGGUACCAAACGAAUAAGCACCGGCUAACUCCGUGCCAGCAGCCGCGGUAAUACGGAGGGUGCAAGCGUUAUCCGGAAUUAUUGGGUUUAAAGGGUCCGUAGGCGGACUUUUAAGUCAGUGGUGAAAUCCUUCGGCUCAACCGGAGAACUGCCAUUGAAACUGAAAGUCUUGAAUAUGAUUGAAGUGGGCGGAAUAUGGCAUGUAGCGGUGAAAUGCUUAGAUAUGCCAUAGAACACC